UACAGAGGGGGCAAGCGUUGGUCGGAAUUACUGGGCGUAAAGGGCGCGUAGGCGGCCUUCUAAGUCGCACGUGAAAUCCCCGGGCUCAACCCGGGAACUGCGUCCGAUACUGGAAGGCUUGAAUCCGGGAGAGGGAUGCGGAAUUCCAGGGGUAGCGGUGAAAUGCGUAGAUAUCUGGAGGAACACCGGUGGCGAAGGCGGCAUCCUGGACCGGUAUUGACGCUGAGGCGCGAAAGCCAGGGGAGCAAACGGG
rnacentral:rRNA from 1 species